rnacentral:rRNA from 1 species
UACGGGGGGGGCAAGCGUUGCUCGGAAUUACUGGGCGUAAAGGGUUCGUAGGCGGCCAACUAAGUCAGACGUGAAAUCCCUCGGCUUAACCGGGGAACUGCGUCUGAUACUGGCUGGCUUGAGUUUGGCAGAGGGAUGCGGAAUUCCAGGUGUAGCGGUGAAAUGCGUGGAUAUCUGGAGGAACACCGGUGGCGAAGGCAGCAUCCUGGACCAACACUGACGCUGAUGAACGAAAGCCAGGGGAGCAAACAGG